rnacentral:rRNA from 1 species
UACGUAGGGCGCAAGCGUUGUCCGGAAUCAUUGGGCGUAAAGAGCUCGUAGGUGGUCUGUUACGUCUGCUGUGAAAACCUGAGGCUCAACCUCAGGCCUGCAGUCGAUACGGGCGGACUUGAGUACUGCAGGGGAGACUGGAAUUCCUGGUGUAGCGGUGAAAUGCGCAGAUAUCAAGAGGAACACCAGUGGCGAAGGCGAGUCCCUGGACAACUUCUGACGCUGAGGCACGAAAGCUAGGGGAGCAAACAGG